rnacentral:rRNA from 1 species
GGGUCAGUAGGUUGGUCGUGCCACCGGUACGUACUGGUCUCACUGAUUCCUCCUUCCUGAAGAACCGUAAUGCCAUUAAUUUGGUGUUGCGGGGAAACAGGACUGUUACUUUGAAAAAACUAGAGUGUUUAAAGCAAGCUAACGCUUGAAUACAUUAGCAUGGAAUAAUGAAAUAGGACGAUCGAUCCUAUUUUGUUGGUUUCUAGGAUUGACGUA